rnacentral:rRNA from 1 species
UGAGGAAUAUUGCGCAAUGGAGGAAACUCUGACGCAGCAACGCCGCGUGGGGGAUGAAGUUUUUCGGAAUGUAAACUCCUGUCAGUGGGGAAGAAUAUCCCGCCUUUGGCGGGACUGACGGUACCCACAGAGGAAGCUCCGGCUAACUCCGUGCCAGCAGCCGCGGUAAUACGGGGGGAGCAAGCGUUGUUCGGAAUCACUGGGCGUAAAGAGCGUGUAGGCGGGCAAAUAAGUCAGACGUGAAAUUUUCCUGCUUAACGGGGAAACUGCGUUUGAAACUAUUUGUCUUGAGUACGGGAGAGGAAAGUGGAAUUCCUGGUGUAGCGGUGAAAUGCGUAGAUAUCAGGAGGAACACCGGUGGCGAAGGCGGCUUUCUGGUCCGAUACUGACGCUGUGGCGCGAAGGCUAGGGGAGCAAACAGAAUUAGAUACUCUGGUAGUCCUAGCGGUAAACGUUGGGCACUAGGUGUUGUUUCUUUAAAGGAGCAGUGCCGAAGCUAAUGCAUUAAGUGCCCCGCCUGGGGAGUACGACCGCAAGGUUG